GACGAACGCUGGCGGCGUGCUUAACACAUGCAAGUCGAACGGGUCUGCCCUGUUUUUUGCGGGGUGGGUCAGUGGCGAACGGGUGAGUAACACGGGAGUAACCUGCCCCUCACUUCUGGAUAACCGCUUGAAAGGGUGGCUAAUACGGGGUGUUCUGGCUGUGCCGCAUGGUGUGGCUGGGAAAGAUUCACUUUUGUGGUGUUUUGGUGGGGGAUGGGCUCGCGGCCUAUCAGCUUGUUGGUGGGGUGAUUGCCUGCCACGGCUUUGGCGGGUAGCCGGCCUGAGAGGGUGGGCGGUCACACUGGGACUGAGAUACGGCCCAGACUCCUGCGGGAGGCAGCAGUGGGGGGUAUUGCACAAUGGGCGGAAGCCUGAUGCAGCGACGUCGCGUGAGGGAUGGAGGCCUUCGGGUUGUGAACCUCUUUCGCCGGUGAAGAAGGUCCUGCUCUUUGUGGUGGGGUUGACGGUAGCCGGGUUAUGAAGCGCCGGCUAACUACGUG
rnacentral:rRNA from 1 species